rnacentral:misc_RNA from 1 species
GAUGAAGAACGUAGCGAAAUGCGAUACUUGGUGUGAAUUGCAGAAUCCCGUGAACCAUCGAGUCUUUGAACGCAAGUUGCGCCCGAAGCCAUUAGGCCGAGGGCACGCCUGCCUGGGCGUCACACGUCGUUGCCCCCCCAUCUACUCCUUCGGGAUUGCGGGGGGGCGGAUGAUGGCCUCCCGUGCGCCUCGUCGCGCGGUUGGCAUAAAUACCAAGUCCUCGGCGACGCACGCCACGACAAUCGGUGGUUGCGAAACCUCGGUUGCCCGUCGUGUGCGGUCGUCGCGCAUCGAGGGCUCGAAAAAAUUGCCGGGCUCCGGCUCGGCUUUCAACGCGACCCCAGGUCAGGCGGGGUUACCCGCUGAAUUUAAGCAUAUCAAUAAGCGGAGGA